rnacentral:rRNA from 1 species
AUGGGCUUCAAGCAAAGCCUGCAUGAGGCUGCCGUCUACCGACGGGGCAGUGGAGGAAAUGCCCUGCUGGUGGGCGUCUAUGUUGACGACUUGGUGAUCACGGGCACCAAAGAUGCAGAGGUGGCGGCGUUCAAGGAAGACAUGAAGGCCACCUUCCAGAUGAGUGAUCUGGGCCUCCUCUCCUUCUAUCUAGGGAUUGAGGUGCACCAGGACCACUCCGGGAUCGCGCUUCGACAGUCCGCCUACGCCAAGCGCAUCGUUGAGCUAGCUGGGCUCAUCGACUGCCACCCAGCUCUCACUCCGAUGGAGGAGAGGCUGAAACUGAGCCGCGACAGCACGACGGAGGAAGGGAUGCUACGCAGUACCGACGCCUUGUGGGGAGCCUUCGCUACCUCACCCACACACGGGCGGACUUGGCAUUCUCCGUCGGCUAUGUCGGUCGGUUCAUGGAGCGACCGACAUGGCAAUCAGUCAAGCAGCAGGUGGUGGCCCUGUCCAGCUGUGAGGCUGAGUACAUAG